UACGUAGGACACAAGCGUUAUCCGGAGUUACUGGGCGUAAAGGGCGUGUAGGCGGACGUGUAAGUCUAUUCUGAAAGCUCCUGGCUAAACUGGGAGAGGCGAAUGGAGACUGCAUAUCUAGAGUGAGGAAGAGGAAAGUGGAAUUCCGCGUGUAGUGGUGAAAUGCGUAGAUAUCGGGAGGAACACCAGUGGCGAAGGCGACUACCUGGCCUGUUCUUGACGCUGAGGCGCGAAAGCUAGGGGAGCAAACGGG
rnacentral:rRNA from 1 species